GUCAAUGAUGGUGUGUUUUUUUGAUAUGCUACUGAAAAGUGAAGACAAUCUUGUUAACAAUUAUAGACACUCGUUAAUAAAUCACCUUACAUAGACUCUUCUUAGUUAAGAGCCACAAGCUGGUGGUACCAUGUACUGUAGUUGAAUAUUGAGUUCAUUGUUUAUGACUUAAUCAAUAUACACAAUUUACUUUUCAGGUAUGCCCAUUUUGUAUUUGUGAUUUAAAUUUAUGCUAAAUAUAAUAAAAUUGGUGCAAUUUCAGUAAAUCUUUAGCGUUAAUUCUCAAAAUUUCUUACAGUGAUUUGAAAUUAUAACCAUUUAAAAUUUUACAAAUGUCAUUAUUCUAGUACAGGAUAAGAACCAUUGCAUUGAGAAGGAUUACAUUUACAAGAAUCAAAUAUUGGUACCCUUCGUCCAAAAUAAAAUACAUCUACAGGGAUUUUAUUGGGUGAUUAAGACAUUGGGUGGUUAAGACAUUGGGUGGUUAAUUGAAACAUUGGGAAGUUAAGACAUUGGAGGAUUAAGAUGCUGGGUGACUAAGAUGUUGGGUGAUUAACACAUUGAGGGAUUCAAAUGUUGGGUGAUUAAGACAUUGGGGGAUAAAGACAUUGGGGGAUUAAGACAUUGGGGGAUUAAGAUAUUGGGGGAUAAAGACAUUGGGGAUUAAGACAUUGGAGGAUUAAGACAUUAUGUGGUUAAGACAUUGGAUGGCUAAGACGUUGGGUGAUUAAGUUUUAUUUAUAAUAAUAAACCCCAUGUUUGAUUUUUAAUGAUUGACAGAAGCAGCAACCAAUCGGCUACAAGUGCCAGACAGUCGGGGCAUGUAAAUACCUAUGGAGAUGUGCUGUGGAACAACAGUUAUUCUUUACGUUGCCCAAUUCUGACAACCCGCCAAAGCUGAGGUCAGGAGGGUCAUUGUUCUCACGAGGGUCAAAGUUCAGGUUCAGUGGGAAGUGUCAGAACGAGGCGUACAGUAACAGUGACGGAAUCAACAGGAACGAACCAGCAUUCUCCAGGUCGUCAUCACUUCCCAACUUUGGCAGGAAGAGUGACAGCAAGGCGUCUCUGAAGAACUCCUCAGUGUUAGCUGAACCUGUCAAAGAAGUUCAACCUCUGCCCAUACUUGAGCUGAAGCCAGGUAAACUUUUGUCAAAUGUAGUGGUUCAUGUCAUCGCACAUCACCUCAAGGGAGGUAACUCCAGAAAACUUCUUUGCACACCUUUUUUUACACAUUUCUGCUCAUCUUUUACCAAAUGCCAACUUAUUUGCAUUAUUAAGGCAUCAAAAAAAAUCAUAGAGAACUCCAGGAUAAAACCCUACAGCCUGAAAAAAAUGAAGAUAUUUAUCAUUUUUGUCUUUUUUUAUUUAUUAUCUAAAAAAAAUCCCAUCACCACACUUUCACCUUGAUUGGCUAACAAUUCAAUGUUUGAUUUAGAAUUAAGCCAUUUAUGAUGUUAUAUUUCAACCAUAAAAUAAUGUUCCAGCUAAAUUUUCUGGGUACAAUCCAUGCUAAUUGGCCAAUAGAAAGUUCACCUCAGCAUGUAAAGUAAUGAUCAUGGACCAAGG